rnacentral:ncRNA from 1 species
CACGGGCAAUGGUGGUUGAAUUAUAGGCUUGCUUGUUGUAUUAUUUGAUGGUAUAGUUCGCUUGGGCAUCACCAACAAUCGAAAGAUGCUCUUUGGCGCAUUUGAUUGCAACCCCAAGUGAGACAGAAUAACUUGUUGAGUUUAAGCAUAUAAAAAAGCAGAGGAAAUACUAUUACAAUGAUUCUCUUAGUAAUGUUGAGCAAACAAAAAAUAUCCUAACCUGAGAUUGUAGUCAGGAAAAGCUUCAUCAGCUGCGGACCGAGCUUAGGUUCCCUGGGAAGACAGCGGUGAGAGCCCCAUUGUGCCCAGACUCUAUCGCAACACGAGGCGCUGCCAGUGAGUAGGGUUGUUUGAGAAUGUAACCCCAAUCAUGUGGUUAACUCCAUCCAAGGCUUAAAAAUACGGGCCAUAGACCGAUAGAGAACAAGUAUAGCUAGGGAAUGUGAAAAUGACUUUAAUAAAGAGAGUUAAAUA